rnacentral:rRNA from 1 species
CAGUCGCCGCGGUAAUACGUAGGUCCCGAGCGUUGUCCGGAUUUAUUGGGCGUAAAGCGAGCGCAGGCGGUUAGAUAAGUCUGAAGUUAAAGGCUGUGGCUUAACCAUAGUACGCUUUGGAAACUGUUUAACUUGAGUGCAAGAGGGGAGAGUGGAAUUCCAUGUGUAGCGGUGAAAUGCGUAGAUAUAUGGAGGAACACCGGUGGCGAAAGCGGCUCUCUGCUUGUAACUGACGCUGAGGCUCGAAAGCGUGGGGAGCAAACAGGAUUAGAUACCCGCGUAGUCCCUGUCUCUUAUACAC